rnacentral:rRNA from 1 species
CUGCUAUCGAAGUGGGACUAAGCCAUGUUAGUCGAACGCCUUUCAACUAUGUGAUUGGCGUGGCGUACGGCUCAGUAACACGUUGUUAACCUACCCUGAAGACGUGGAUAACCCCGGGAAACUGGGAUUAAACCACGAUAGAUCAAGACCCCUGGAAUGGAUCUUGUUUCAAAGGAAGAAUGAGCAUGUUUAUUUAUUUGCCUCAGGAUGGGACUGCGUCCGAUCAGGUUGUUGGUGGAGUAAUAGCCCACCAAGCCUGUAACCGGUACGGGCUUUGAGAGAAGGAGCCCGGAGAUGGACACUGAGAAAAGAGUCCAGGCCCUACGGGGCGCAGCAGGCGCGAAACCUUCGCAAUGCACGAAAGUGCGACGAGGCUACUUCGAGUGCCAUCCGCUGAGGAUGGCUUUUGUCAGGUGUAAAAAGCCUGGAGAAUAAGGGGUGGGCAAGUUCUGGUGUCAGCCGCCGCGGUAAAACCAGCACCUCAAGUGGUCAGGAGGAUUAUUGGGCCUAAAGCAUCCGUAGCCGGCUCUGUAAGUUUUCGGUUAAAUCCAUGUGCUCAACGCAUGGGCUGCCGAAAAUACUGCAUAGCUAGGGAGUGGGAGAGGUAGACGGUACUCAGUAGGAAGGGGUAAAAUCCUUUGAUCUAUUGAUGACCACCUGUGGCGAAGGCGGUCUACCAGAACACGUUCGACGGUGAGGGAUGAAAGCUGGGGGAGCAAACCGGAUUAGAUACCCGGGUAGUCCCAGCUGUAAACGAUGCAGACUCGAUGAUGCAUUGGCAUAUAGCCAGUGCAGUGUCGCAGGGAAGCCGUUAAGUCUGCCGCCUGGGAAGUACGUACGCAAGUAUGAAACUUAAAGGAAUUGGCGGGGGAGCACCACAAGGGGUGA